rnacentral:rRNA from 1 species
AAUAGAUACCCAGGUAGUCCACGCCGUAAACGAUGGGUGCUAGGUGUGGGCGGUGUCGACUCCGUCCGUGCCGAAGCUAACGCGUUAAGCAUCCCGCCUGGGAACUACGAGCGCAAGCUUAAAACUCAAAGGAAUUGACGGGGGACCCGCACAAGCAGCGGAGCGUGUGGUUUAAUUCGAUGCUACACGAAGAACCUCACCCAGGUUUGACAUGACGGUGGUAGUGAAGCGAAAGUGGAACGACCCGCAAGGGAGCCGUCACAGGUGUUGCAUGGCUGUCGUCAGCUCGUGUCGUGAGAUGUUGGUUUAAGUACCCUAACGAGCGCAACCCUCGUUGCCAGUUACAGGUGUCUGGCGAGACUGCCGGCCGCAAGCCGGAGGAAGGCGGGGAUGACGUCAAGUCAGCAUGGCCUUUAUAUCUGGGGCUACACACACGCUACAAUGGGCCGCCACAAUGGGUCGCCAAAACCGCGAGGCGGAGCCAAUCCCACAAAAACGGUCCUCAGUUCAGAUUGCAGGCUGCAACCCG